CUCACAGUGACUUCUUGUGAUGUUAACUCUAACAGUGUUGGCAUCACAAGAGGUCACUGUGAG
rnacentral:miRNA from 1 species